GACGAGGGGGGCGAGCGUUGUUCGGAAUUAUUGGGCGUAAAGGGCGCGUAGGCGGUUGGGUAAGUCUUGUGUGAAAUCUUCGGGCUCAACUCGAAGUCUGCACGAGAAACUAUCUGGCUUGAGUGUGGGAGAGGUGAGUGGAAUUCCUGGUGUAGCGGUGAAAUGCGUAGAUAUCAGGAGGAACACCUGUGGCGAAAGCGGCUCACUGGACCACAACUGACGCUGAGGCGCGAAAGCUAGGGGAGCAAACAGG
rnacentral:rRNA from 1 species